rnacentral:lncRNA from 1 species
UAAAAAAAAAAUUUAUACGCAAAAUUUCUUAAUUAUUUUUAUAGAAAAUAUCGGGUUGUCACAUUCACCCUCCCUUAUAAGGAUUCCGUCCCCGGAAUCACCGCUUUAAAACUCAUACGUAGAAGGGUACAUAGCAUAUAAUCAUUGUACGUAGAUCUCGAUCAUACUUGAUCGAACUGAUCUUUAACUAUUCUCCAUAACGCUUGUCUAUCAGAUAAACAGAAAUUUAAUUUCUAAAAGAACUCAAAUUCCUUCCUCAAAAUUUCUUUAUGAAAUAAUUUACUAUCUAUAUAGCUAUAUUUUAUACAGGAAAAUCAUAUAAAAUAUUGAAGUUAUUCGAAUAGAACCUGGAGUUCCAUUUCCAGCUGCCACAGUAUCCUCAACUGCUACGAUAUCUUGAACGACCAUAAUGAAGACACUUACGGUUUAUUUCGUUGUCGCCUAUAUCUUGCUGUCAUUUCUCGUAUUCGCAUUCCUUAUCUUACUUCUCCUUCUUGAAUAAUCUUUGACCUUAUAAUCCAUUGAUUUACAAAUAAAACAUUCGCUAUACAUUCUUCAAUUGGGACAAUUGGAAGAGAUAUGUCUCUUCUGCCCACAAACUUUCUCUUUAUCUCAUUUCCCUUUUAUCGUAUAGGUGAUAAAAGUUAUCUUUUNN